rnacentral:ncRNA from 1 species
UCGGUGCUGUUCAGUUUGCUGAACGGAGAAUCGGGAAGGCGGUGCGAAUCCGCCACGUGCCCAACGCUGUGAGGAGGACGUUGGCCGCAAGAUGCCACUGGUUUUGGCCGGGAAGGCGCGGCGACGGUUGAAUCCGAGUCAGAAGACCGGCCGGGAGAC